GUAGGAGUUAAUCAGGCAACAUGGGAAAGGUAAUGCAGAUAGGAAACAAAGGCUUGGGGAGAUAAGUGUUCAAAAUCACAUUUCCUUCUCUUUGCUUUCUGUAGUCACUGUUUCUCUCUGUCUUUUCUCCCAUCCUAUUUUUUCUUGUCUUCCUCAGAAGCAGUGAUAAUGAUAAUUCUAUUGGUCAUUUCAGUGCAUAGAAAGGGGUAGCUUUCAGAGUGAAUGACACCUCCAUUUUCUGAUUUCAGUUUACCCAUAAGUGAUUUCCUCAGAAUCUCUCUUUGGUUCUCUUGGUUUAUUUAUUUAGUACCUAGUUAUUCAUAAAAUAACCUUUGGAUCUUCUGGGAAAAUGUUAAACCAAAUAACUACAGAUUUUCACACUCUGGAAAUGAAAGUCUCUCAGUUAACAGAUCUCAAGCAUUGGUCUUGGAUCCUUUCCUUCUCUAUAGAGUGGAAGUUGCCAUUGUUCACUGAGUGAAUACGACAUUUUUAGCUGGAUGAUUUACAUAAGAAAGAGUGUUGGGAAGGGUUGUAACAACAGUGACUGGCAGCUACAGACUCAUUUGCCCUCUUUAUAGGCAGAACUAAUUCAGGGAAAGGCUUUCCUAUCAAAAAUAUCUUAACUGAAAAAAAAAUCUUAACUGAGAAUCAUUGAGAUUAUCAGGUAAACAAUACUAGGCUUAACUGCCAAAAGCUGAUAUUAAUAUCUUAGUGCUGCUUGCUUUCCUUAUGCAUGCCCGAAACAAACAGAAGGUUGGGAGUUUUGCUUGUCAGGAAACUGAAGAAUAAGCAGAAAGCAACAGGACUGAGUAUUACGAUGAAUUUUGCCUUCUUUUGGACUACCACAUUUUCUCAUCUCAAAAGCCAGAUGGCAAAGGUAACUUAUACCCUUCUCUCUUUCCCAUGCCCUUAUCUCCAUUUUCUUGCCUUAUCUUAGCUAUACUAAAGGAAGAUGAUAUGAACCAUCCCCUGCAAUUUUUAUAACAAUUUUUAUAACAAUUUUUACAACAAUUUUGAUAACUUUGUUGAAGAGCAGGGGGUACAUGUGUUUGGGGUGUGUGUGUGUGUGUGUGUGUGUGUGUAUGUUAAGGCAGACAACAGCAGUUUUUAUGGACUAUAUAGCAGUAACUAUGUAGAUAGAUAGAAUAUGGAUAUAGUCUCAUUUUGUAUAUACAGUAUAUACUAAAUAGUUCUCCUAUUCCUUACUAAAAUAGAAAUCCAUCACCAUGCAGUUUGAUCAUUAUAUUUAAAUUACAGGGCAAGGGAUUUGCAUGCACAAAGUUAGCUUAUUUCCUAUCAUACAUCUAGCACUUGGGUUCCAUGGAAUUACAUCUCUGAAUGGUCAAGUGUGUAAUGUGUCUCUCCCUUCAUAUCUUAUACACCUGCCCCUCACCCUCACUUUGUUUGCACAGCUGUUUUGAAGUUUGAAUUGGGGCAUGGUAGCCCUUUGGGAUGUAAAUUUGAGUUAUUAA
rnacentral:lncRNA from 1 species